ACGCUGGCGGCGUGCCUAAUACAUGCAAGUAGAACGCUGAAGGAGGAGCUUGCUUCUCUGGAUGAGUUGCGAACGGGUGAGUAACGCGUAGGUAACCUGCCUGGUAGCGGGGGAUAACUAUUGGAAACGAUAGCUAAUACCGCAUAAUAGUAGAUGUUGCAUGACAUUUGCUUAAAAGGUGCAAUUGCAUCACUACCAGAUGGACCUGCGUUGUAUUAGCUAGUUGGUGGGGUAACGGCUCACCAAGGCGACGAUACAUAGCCGACCUGAGAGGGUGAUCGGCCACACUGGGACCGAGACACGGCCCAGACUCCUACGGGAGGCAGCAGUAGGGAAUCUUCGGCAAUGGACGGAAGUCUGACCGAGCAACGCCGCGUGAGUGAAGAAGGUUUUCGGAUCGUAAAGCUCUGUUGUAAGAGAAGAACGAGUGUGAGAGUGGAAAGUUCACACUGUGACGGUAUCUUACCAGAAAGGGACGGCUAACUACGUGCCAGCAGCCGCGGUAAUACGUAGGUCCCGAGCGUUGUCCGGAUUUAUUGGGCGUAAAGCGAGCGCAGGCGGUUAGAUAAGUCUGAAGUUAAAGGCUGUGGCUUAACCAUAGUACGCUUUGGAAACUGUUUAACUUGAGUGCAAGAGGGGAGAGUGGAAUUCCAUGUGUAGCGGUGAAAUGCGUAGAUAUAUGGAGGAACACCGGUGGCGAAAGCGGCUCUCUGGCUUGUAACUGACGCUGAGGCUCGAAAGCGUGGGGAGCAAACAGGAUUAGAUACCCUGGUAGUCCACGCCGUAAACGAUGAGUGCUAGGUGUUAGACCCUUUCCGGGGUUUAGUGCCGCAGCUAACGCAUUAAGCACUCCGCCUGGGGAGUACGACCGCAAGGUUGAAACUCAAAGGAAUUGACGGGGGCCCGCACA
rnacentral:rRNA from 1 species